UACGUAGGGUGCGAGCGUUAAUCGGAAUUACUGGGCGUAAAGCGUGCGCAGGCGGUUUUGUAAGCCAGAUGUGAAAUCCCCGGGCUUAACCUGGGAAUGGCAUUUGGGACUGCAAGGCUUGAGUGCGGCAGAGGAGACUGGAAUUCCUGGUGUAGCAGUGAAAUGCGUAGAUAUCAGGAGGAACACCGGUGGCGAAGGCGGGUCUCUGGGCCGUAACUGACGCUGAGGAGCGAAAGCGUGGGGAGCGAACAGG
rnacentral:rRNA from 1 species